rnacentral:rRNA from 1 species
AUGUACUCUGAUAACUACUUUGUGAAACUACCUAGGAGGGUCAGUGGAUACUCUGGUUUGGAUUGGGUGCAGGAGACACUAGCCCGAGAUACCCAAUGCUAUAACAUGUUUAGGGUUGAGAGACCUUUGUUUAACAAGCUACAUAAUACUUUGGUGCAAUCAUAUGGCUUGAAGUCCACUACAAAAAUGACAUCUGUAGAGGCUCUAGCUAUGUUUUUAUGGAUUGUUGGAUCACCACAGUCAGUUAGACAGGCUGAGAACCGUUUUAGGAGGUCCAUGGAGACAGUAAGUAGGACAUUUAACAGAGUUUUGACAUGCCUCCUCAGGUUAGCACAUGACAUAAUUGUACCCAAGGACCCAACAUUUUCAGAGGUGCACCCAAACUUAGAAAAUCCAGCAUUCUGGCCACACUUCAAUGACUGCAUAGAAGCUAUAGAUGGGACACAUGUGAAUGUUGUGGUGGAUAAGAGUAAGAGGAUUCCAUACUUGAACAGGCACAAUGAAACCAGUCAGAAUGUGCUUGCUGUUUGUGAUUUCGACAUGAGAUUUACAUUUGUGAUGUCGGGAUGGCCUGGUUCAGCACAUGACAUGAGAGUUUUGAAAGAUGCCAGAACUACUCAUCAUUAA